rnacentral:rRNA from 1 species
AUUGUCUGUACUGGUGAGAUGAGUCUCUACCUUCUGAGGAACUUUCAUGCCAUUCGUUUGGUGUGAUGGGAAAUCAGGACUGUUACUUUGAAAAAAUUAGAGUGUUUAAAGCAGGCUAACAUCUGAAUACAUUAGCAUGGAAUAAUGAAGUAGGACGGAUUGAUUCUAUUUCGUUGGUUUCUAGGGUCACCGUAAUGAUUAAUAGGGAUAGUUGGGGGCAUUAGUAUUCAAUUGUCAAAGGUGAAAUUCUUGGAUUUAUUGAAGACUAACUACUGCUAAAGCAUUUGCCAAGGAUGUUUUCAUUAAUCAAGAACGAAAGUUAGGGGAUCGAACACGAUCAGAUACCGUCGUAGUCUUAACCAUAAACUAUGCCGACUAAGGAUCGGACGCAGUUAAUUUUAUAAUGACGUGUUCGGCACCUUAC